GCCCGGUUGAUGAAAUUGGUAGACAUGCCAUCUUGAGGGGGUGGUGGCUUAGGCUGUAGCAGUUCGAAUCUGCUACCGGGCA
rnacentral:tRNA from 1 species